AGGCUUGUUUUUUCACAUGAAAAAGCCUGCCUUGAUUCCUUGAGUGGCCGACUUGGUGUGAGAACCAUAUGGAAGGGAAGAAGUAUCCCAGACCCAAGAUGCAAGUUUAUGGAUUGAAAGACAGGAGGCCAAACACCGAAACAGUAUCUAACGAAACAUUUGCAGACUCACCACUUCUGAUCACUGAAGUAUUGAUACAGAGAUGAAAAUCCUUGUAUUCCACUAGUAAGCCUUCUCUGCCUCCUUUGCACCUAAAGAAAAUUAUCUUUUUUUAAUAGCUUCUUUUUCUUCGAAGGUUGCUCUCUCUUUGCCAAUUGCUUUCCUUAAAAAUGUCUUUGAAACUCAUCUGGGGGACCAUAAUAAUCAUCUUCAUAAAAAAAAAAAAAAAAAAAAAAGAAAAAAAAGAAAAAAAAAAGAAAGCAGAACAACCUAUAGCAUCAGAGAAUUAUUCCUCACAGGUACAGUUGGAUAAGAUGGGAUUCAUGCAACAUGAAUUUUUUUCAGAGCAGAGGUAUUUGGUUGUUAUUUACAUGGGUAAUCAUUCCAUAAUUCUAAGAAUUCUUCUAGAAAACAGAAUUCUUUGUAUAAACUGAAAACUUCGUAUUUCUGGGGGGGAGGUUAGUGGUAAUACUUACUGUUAUACAAAUGAGCUGGGAUAAUGAUGAGUAAUUUGUAAUCACCUGGUACUGUGUGAACCAGCCAGAGAAAUGCACCUGGGGGUAUUACAGAGAAAUUACACAGUUGUAUAGUUUUUUAUGCUGAGAUCAACUAUGAGGCCUUGACCAAGAAUUAGUUCCUUCUCAGAAUGAAAAAGAUAAAAAAAACCCAGUGUGUUCCACUGGGCAGCACUGGAGCUGCACUUAGCUGAUGA